UAGCUCAGUCGGUUAGAGCAGGGUGCUGAUAAUACCAAGGUCGUGGGUUCGAUCCCCGU
rfam:Apaloderma vittatum contig58022, whole genome shotgun sequence.